rnacentral:rRNA from 1 species
GACGAACGCUGGCGGCGUGCUUAACACAUGCAAGUCGAACGAUAAUCUCCCGCUUUCGGCGGUGAUUAGUGGCGCACGCGUGUGUAAUACGUGAGUGACCUGCCCUUGACUCUGGGAUAAGCCUGGCAAACCGGGUCUAAUACUCGAUACUACUUCCUGCCGCAUGGUGGGGGGUGGUCAGGCUUUUACGGGUUUUGUAUGGGCUCACGGCCUAUCAGCUUGUUGGUGGAGUAGUGGCUCACCAAGGCGACGACGGGUAGCCGGCCUGAGAGGGUGACCGGCCACAAUGCGACUGAGAGACGGCGCAGUCUCCAACGGGAGACAGCAGGGGGGAAUAUUGCACAGUGGGCGGAAGCCUGAUACAGCGGCGCCGCGUGUGGGAUGAAGGCCUGCGGGGUGUAAACCUCUUUCAGCAGGGACGGAGCCAGAAGGAACGGAACCGGCAGAAGAAGCGCCGGCAACUUACGG